UCCCGUGGCUUAGUGGUUAGAGCGUCUGCCUCGGAUGCGGGAAGUCGUGGGUUCGAUCUCUGUCGAGUCAU